GAUGAAGAACGUAGCGAAAUGCGAUAAGUAGUGUGAAUUGCAGAAGUACCGUGAAUCAUCGAAUCUUUGAACGCAAAUUGCACUCUCUGGUAUUCCGGGGAGUAUGCCUGUUUGAGGGUCGCUUAACAAACCAUCGAUUUCGUUGCUUUUUUUUUUAAAGUGAUGUUUAUCGGAUUUGAGCCGUCUUUUUUUUUAUAUUUAAGUGGUUUAAAAUUGAUUUUUUUGGUACGAUCGAUGCGUAUUUUUAUGAUCAAUUUUUGGUUAAAGAAACGCACACGUACCGUUAUUUAUAUGAUGUAAUACGUUUGACUAUUGGAUUUAGUUCAUUCGUAUACGAUAUCUUUCAAUAUUUGACCUCAAAUCAGGUAAGAACACCCGCUGAACUUAAGCAUAUCAAUAAGCGGAGGA
rnacentral:misc_RNA from 1 species